rnacentral:rRNA from 1 species
CAAAUUUUGAAAGCUGGCGUCUUCGACGUCCGCAUUGUAAUCUCGAGAAGUGUUUUCCGUGUUGGACCAUGUACAAGUUCCUUGGAACAGGACGUCAUAGAGGGUGAGAAUCCCGUACUUGACAUGGAUGCCCAAUGCUUUGUGAUACGCUCUCCACGAGUCGAGUUGUUUGGGAAUGCAGCUCAAAAUGGGUGGUAAAUUCCAUCUAAAGCUAAAUAUUGGGGAGAGACCGAUAGCGAACAAGUACCGUGAGGGAAAGAUGAAAAGCACUUUGGAAAGAGAGUUAAACAGUACGUGAAAUUGUCGAAAGGGAAGCGCUUGAAGUCAGACAUGCUGCUGAGACUCAGCCUUGGUUUUCCUUGGUGUAUUUCUCAGUUGGCAGGCCAGCAUCAGUUUUGGCUGUUGGAUAAGGGUAGGAGGAAUGUGGCAUCCUCGGAUGUGUUAUAGCCUCUUACUGGAUACAAC